AGCAGCGAGGGGAUCCGUGUCCAUCUAAUUUUGAUUUUCAGCUGAUCGGCUCGCAGCUCAGUGCCACUAACAGCAGCAAGAGGAGGAGAAAUAGAAUUCCUCUUAUUUAAAAUCAGGGAAAAAAAGUUUCACAACCCGAGGAGAAGCCCCCUGAAACGCACGCCACCUAUCUUCACGGGAGGGGAUAAUUGAGGAGCGCCAAACAGAUGGAUGCAUCAGGAGCAAUUUGGUGUUCAGUAUUUUGCCCAAGAAUACUCCAACAACUCCAGAGGAGCCUGGGAUGGAACCACCAACCAUCUGAUCAGUAGAAGACCAGCUCUGCCUCCUGGAAGUUUCCUGAUUUCUUAUUGGGUGGUGUUCUGCAGCCUGUCUGGGCUGUGGGUGAACAGUAACAGUGUGCACUCACUUCUUCACACCCUAUACAAGCACAGAGGAACCAAAAUCACCUUUUACACCGGGGCUGUAAUAACCACCUUAAAUAUUGCGCAUGCAAUUAUGCAUGAAAGAAUAAAGUGCUGCAACUGAUAAUAAAAUAACUGAUUCUGUCUUCAAGUCAGAAUAUUGCACAACCCGUCGCACCCCUCAUUUUGCCUGAGAAACUGCCAUUUACUCUGGUAUAAAUCACAUUGUUUAAUGUGUUGUAGUGUAAAUAAUAAAGAAAAUUUAGUGUUAAAAAUCAUUCUUCCCCCCCAGGAUCUACAUCCACCUGUUUCCAGCCUCAAAUGGCUCCUAUCUCAUCCCCGAUUGGUGCGGCCGGUCGUGUAACAACUCUCCCCGUGCUACAGCCAUACCCAGUCUCCCCUCUGCAGCCGAUACCACUGACCAUCUGACGUCGUCGGAUUGUGAUAUUUAUUAACGAGGCCCACAACACGCUACGGAUAAAUUUGCAGGGAUUAAUGUCGUCAUGUGGGCUCCGGUUUUUUGGUGCACGAUGAUAUAAGACAAGAGGCAGUCAGAGCGAGAGAGGGAUGCCAUUGCAGAACACGCCUCGGGACUGUUGCAUGUACAUGUUGUGCAUUCAACAACUCUGCCGCCAGGCGUCCCUGAUUAUUGGCCUAAUUUAGAUCUGUGAGACUCACGUGACGUGGCGGUGAUGAAUCUAUGCCCAGUCCAGCAGCAGCAACAGCAGCUCGACCAAACCCAUUACAAUAUGAGAAAUACUCAUCAUGGUCAUUUGUGCUCACUGCUCUCUGACGGUUUAAUUUAAGGCUUCGUUUAAGGAGAAAUAAAAGACUCUGGCAUGGCA